AAGGAUUAUGUGACCAGGAUGAAGGAAGGGCAGAAUGACAUCUACUACAUCACAGGUGAGAGCAAAAAGGCUGUCGAGAAUUCUCCCUUCCUUGAGAAGCUGAAGAAGAAGGGCUAUGAAAUCCUCUACAUGGUUGAUGCUAUUGAUGAGUAUGCCGUUGGUCAGUUGAAGGAAUUUGAGGGCAAGAAGCUUGUCUCUGCAACUAAGGAAGGGCUAAAGCUUGAUGAGAGUGAGGAUGAAAAGAAAAGGAAGGAAGAAUUGAAACAGAAGUUUGAGGGUCUUUGCAAGGUGAUUAAGGAUGUUCUUGGGGACAAGGUUGAGAAGGUUAUUGUCUCUGACCGUGUUGUUGACUCACCUUGCUGUUUGGUGACCG
rnacentral:lncRNA from 1 species